rnacentral:rRNA from 1 species
GACGAACGCUGGCGGCGUGCUUAACACAUGCAAGUCGAACGGAAAGGCCCUGCUUUUGUGGGGUGCUCGAGUGGCGAACGGGUGAGUAACACGUGAGUAACCUGCCCUUGACUUUGGGAUAACUUCAGGAAACUGGGGCUAAUACCGGAUAGGAGCUCCUGCUGCAUGGUGGGGGUUGGAAAGUUUCGGCUGUUGGGGAUGGACUCGCGGCUUAUCAGCUUGUUGGUGGGGUAGUGGCUUACCAAGGCUUUGACGGGUAGCCGGCCUGAGAGGGUGACCGGGCACAUUGGGACUGAGAUACGGCCCAGACUCCUACGGGAGGCAGCAGUGGGGAAUAUUGCACAAUGGGCGGAAGCCUGAUGCAGCAACGCCGCGUGCGGGAUGACGGCCUUCGGGUUGUAAACCGCUUUCGCCUGUGACGAAGCGUGAGUGACGGUAAUGGGUAAAGAAGCACCGGCUAACUACGUG